rnacentral:rRNA from 1 species
CCUACGGGUGGCUGCAGUAGGGAAUAUUGGUCAAUGGUCGGAAGACUGAACCAGCCAUGCCGCGUGCAGGAAGAAGGCCUUCUGGGUUGUAAACUGCUUUUCUCAGGGGUGAAAAGAACCUUGCGAGGUGCAUUGACGGUACCUGAGGAAUAAGCACCGGCUAACUCCGUGCCAGCAGCCGCGGUAAUACGGAGGGUGCAAGCGUUGUCCGGAUUCAUUGGGUUUAAAGGGUGCGUAGGCGGCAGCUUAAGUCAGUGGUGAAAUCCAACAGCUCA